GAUUCCCUCCUCACCGUAGGCGACACCAAUCUUGCAAGCCUAAACAAAGGGUUGAGGGUGAAGCCGGAGAGAUACAAGCCCAGCCUGAACAUGGCUGAUCGUGAUCCUCAAAAUGGCGUUAACUUGUGGCCUGUGAUUCUCCUAGCUGAACCUCCUUGGAAUUUAACUUCCUAUCUCCUCUUCCUCCAAGAAGAAGAAAACAACAACAAAGUAAGCAGGCAUUGAAAAGAGGGACCAGUGACCGGUUUUCACGCUUACGAUGGCAGUCCUCGACUUACAACUAUGACGGAGCCCAAUCUACCUAUGGCUGAGCCAAACAUUUAUGAAGCAACAUUUGCUUCAUUUUAUGACCGUUCCUUGCCACAGGUGUGAAGCACCGCGCUUGUUAAAUCAGUCACACGAUGGUCGAAGGAAUCCGGCUUCCCCCCUCGACUUUGCUUAUAAGCUGGUCGCAAAAGGGGAUCGCGUGAGACCGUCGGAACACCGAGACCGUCAUAAAUAUGAGUCAGCCGCCGAGUGUCUGAAUUUUGAUCGUGUGACCACGGGGAGGCGAUUUGUGGUUUGUUAAGUGUGAAAAACGGUCCCACGUCACUUUUUUUUCGGUGCCGUCAUAACGUUGAACGGUCACUAAGUGAACUGCUGUACAUCCAGGACUACCUGUACAUUGUUUAAUUUUGAAUAAAUGAAUAGGACGGAAUAAAGCUGGAAGGGACAUCGGAGGUCUUCUAGUCCAACCUGCUCAGACUAGGUGGCUCAGUGGCUAAAACACUGAGCUUGUCAAUCAGACAGGUCGGCAGUUCAAAUCCCUAGUGCAGGUCUUCUGCGUGAGCAGGGGGGAUUGGACUAGAUGACCUCCAAGGUCCCUUCCAACUCCACUACUGUUAAACUGCUAAACCCUCUGCUGAUGCUGCUGACCCCAUUUCAGGUAAGUGACUGUCUAGUCUCUUCUUAAAAAGCUCCAGUGAUGGAGCAUCCACGAUUUCUGGUGGCAAGCUGUCCCACUGGUGAAUUGUCCCCACUGUUAGGAAGUUCCUCUUAAGUUCUAGGUGGCUUCUCUCUUUGAUCGGUUUCCAACCGUUGCUUCUUGUCCUGCCUUCUGGUGCUCUGGAGAAUAAUUUGAAAGCUAUUAUGGAUUUUAUUAAUGGUAUUUUAGAGAUGAUAUGAAGAAAAACUGCGUUUUUUCUUUUUUUUCUGAGUAUGGUUAAUAGCAUAAGAAAUUGCAAAUAUAUGAUUGAUGUUGAUGUUUAAUAAGUAGAAGAUACCAAAAAAAUUAAAUAUUGAAUGGGAAUAUAAGAGUUUAGUAUAAAUGAAAGUAGAAAAAGGGGGGGGAGAGGAAAAUUUGAUAAAAGAUUAAAAUUUAGGGUGAAGGGUAAGAUUAGAUUUAUAAAGAGAAAUAAAAGAAGGAAAGUAAGAGAAAAUAUAUCAAUGAAAGAAUGUAAGAUGUGUUAGAGGAGAACUAAAUUUGUUAUGAACAUGUAACCUGGCCGAUAUUUUAUCCAGAAAAAAUGUAUGUUGUUUGUGUGCAAAAAAAUACCAUUGGAAGUGUCUUGGCGACGUUUCGACGAAGUCUCAUGCGUCAUCUUCAGGCUUCAGCUUCGUGCUUCUGGGAGCAAUGUGUGAUUGCAGCUGUUUCUUCCUUUUUAACUGCUAGUGGGGGUUUGAACUGAUUGGGUGGGAGCUUGGCUGUGAUCUGAUUGGAUGGGGGUUUUUUUGUGCUCUGAUUGGCUGAGGGUGUGUCCUGUUUGGGUGGGGGCUUGGUUGUGCUCAGAUUAGUCUGAGUUGCAGGAAUCGCCAAGACACUUCCAAUUUUACGCGGGAGAAAACCCGAAUAACCAAAGACCUACAUAUAUACACACACACACACACACACACGAAAGAGAGAAUAAUUUUACCCCCUCUUCUUUGUGGCAGCCCCUCAAAUACUGGAAUCCUGCUAUCACGUCACCCCUAAUUCUUCUUUUCUUUAAGAUUAGUCCUGUCGGCAAUGCUAAUGGCGAACUGAGUACGCUUUGUUAGGAAAUUAUUUAUCCAUGGAUUCCUGAUCAAUGAGCAAAAAGCCUGCAGUUAAAAAAGCAGUCUGGGAAGGUUUCCGACGCCUGACUUAAGAACUGACAGGUUCCUGUCUCUCCCUCUUGCAAUUUGCCAAUGCUGCAAAGGUGGAUGACUCCAGGCCCAGCUCCGAGCACCGAAGGGUGACACCUUUGCCUUGCAUGCAAAUUAAAUUGAAUCAUGCAUGUUUCUGUAAGGCGUUGACAGCCUUUAGAAGAAGAAGAAGAAGUGGCCCCUGGCCAAGAGAGGUGAGAUAAACUGGCAACAGGCAAAGGGUACGUUGCCCAGCCCAGGUUGACAUUCACACAGACAGGAUUGUGCAGGUCACAAAUGCGCGGAUUGCACGACAGCAGAAAUCAAGGGGCAUUGGGUUCUUUGGCCUCCCCGUGGCUGGAAACGAGGCUGGUGGCUUUUAAUGCCUGUGUAGCAGAGACGUCAACCUGCCAACAAAAGUGCAUAUAAUCAAGGCAAUGGUUUUCCCAGUUCAGUGUCUGGCUGUGAAAGUUGGACCACAAGGAAGGCUGAGUGCCAAAGAAUGGUGGCCUUUGAACUCUGGUGCUGGAGAAGACUCCUGCGAGUCCCUUGGACUGCAAAGCGAUCCAACCGGUCGGUCCUAGAGGAGAUCAACCCUGACUGCUUUUUCGAAGGCCAGAUCUUGAAGAGGAAACUCAAAUGCUUUUGCCACCUAAUGAGAAGGAAGGACUCCCUGGAGAAGAGACGAAUGCUGGGAACGAUGGCGGGCAAAAGAAGGAGGGGACGGCAGAGAACGAGGUGGCUGGAUGGAGUCACCGAAGCAGUGGCAUGAGCUUAAAUGGUCUCCGGAGGAUGGUAGAGGACAGGAAGGCCUGGAGGAAUGUGGUCCAUGGGGUUGCGAUGGCUCGGACACGACUUCGCAACUAAUAACAACAAAAAAACCAAUAUCACAAGGACUCUACGCCAGGAUAAAGGUCUUCUAUUGAGCUUGGGGGGGGGGGGCGCGGAAAAGAGACCCACGCGAUUGAGCAGCUGAACGGGUGAAAAAGCACAGCUCUUGUGAAACUUUAAAAGUUUUUCCACUUCCGGCGCGAAUGUCUCGAUUCAAACGAUUAUCUCUGUAUUUGUUUGUGUGGAGUCAGCAAAUGGCAGCACCUGAUAUUCCCAAGACUUUCUGGGGCUAAGGAGGGCUUAAGAAAUUACCUGUCAAAUAGGGCGGCGCUGGUUUAUGCUUAGCUCUGCAACUGCACCCCUGGCACCGUGUGCGCCUGCAUGAAUUCUGGGUACAGCUGAAAUCAGCAUAUCGGCUCCCACUUGUGCUCCGGGCCCAAAAAAAAAACCCAACAACACCCUUUUGUGCCUAAACACGAUGCCAGGUCAAAUCAAGCGGGCGCUGAGAAAUUCCUGCCGGGCACCUUUGGCAGGGAAAAAGGCGAGGCGUGCCGGUUACGCAAUGGGGAAAUCUGCUCUUUUUCAAAACAAGCUCCGGGAUUUCAGCAGAAGCCCGGUUUAGACGAGGACACGCUGAGGAUUGACAGGUUACGCCAGGUUAAAUGAUGGGGUUCCCUCGCCAAGAAUUGCCUAUCGAGACCAAUUAUUCAUGUCUCCUGUGGGCCUACCGGAUCGCGCAGGAGAUAAUUUCUCUCUGUCUGCUUACGGCAUGAGAAGUUGACUUCUGACUCAUGAGAAGUUGCCAGGGGGGGAACGCACGCAGGGGGGCACAAAUAGCGCCCAGGGGUACUGACUGAUCUCUCUUUGGCAUCUACCAGCUCCACUUCCUGGAGUUAUUUUAUUUUUUAAAAAAAACUCUUCUAAACAACUAUGGAAACCAAGAACGAAGUGCCUGGCAAGCUUAUCCCUGUUGGUGUUUGGUUUACUGAUGUGCCCACUGGUCUGGGGGAAAGGUCAAAGGUCAGGAAGAAGGGUUAGGCAAGCCUUGGCAUGGGGGGGGGACUGGGGGAAGACAGUGGCAGAGGAUGGCAAGUAGCAUUUCGAUAAACCGGCCCUUGCGCGUUAAUAGGACUUGCAAGGUGUUUUCAAAUGUUAACAUCUGCCUAGCGGUCUUCAGGGAACCCCGUUUUCUCAGAUCCUCGAUCGCCUACGUCAAGCUUAUUCUCACCCAACCUGCCUUCUCCACCUGUUCCCUUAAUGUCUAAUUAUUACCUGCACAGGAGGGAGCAGACAAAUUGUAAUUACCCUGCAUCAAUCAGGUAUUAAGUUAUUUGCAAUUCAAAGCAGCCAUCGUGUCUCUCCCCCCCACCACACACACACACCCCGUAUUGCAGAUAAACAAGUUUUAUAAUACGAAACUUGAAAACUGUGGGAACAAGGCGUUGGCUGGCAGAGAGACAUUUUGCAGUCCCUGCCAACUCGAGACGCUGAUCUGGUGUGUGUGUGUGUGUGUGUGUGGUGGGAGCAUCUUAGGCAAUUUCCUUCCAGUGAGUUUUGUGCCCGACCCACCUCCCGGUUCGUGGCCAGUGAGGGGUAAGGAGGCGGGGUGAGAUGCACAGGGAAUCAAGGAGAGGCACUUGUUGGGCUGGCACACAAGGUUUCGUGAACAUUUCAGACAGGAACACAUCGUAUUUUUCGGAGUUGUAGGACUUACUUUUUCCCUCUCCUACUAUCAAUUACUAUUAAUACCAUCAUCAUCAUCUCUUCGGGAGAUACCUGAAUUUGAAAGGCAGAUUGCUACUAUUUAAAACUAAUAGAUUUUAGUUUAAAACUAAUAGACUAUUAGUUUAAAACUAAUAGAUUUAAACUUAAUGUCAACCGCUUUAAUCUAGAUUGCAGAAAAUAUGACUUCUGUAACAGAAUCAUCAGUGCUUGGAAUACUUUACCUGACUCUGUGGUCUCUUCUCAUAAUCCUAAAAGUUUUAUCCAAAAACUUUCUACUAUUGAUCUCACCCCAUUCCUAAGAGGACCAUAAGGAGCAUGCAUAAGCGCACAAACGUGCCUACCGUUCCUGUCCUAUUGUUUUUCUUUUCUUCUUCCUAUAUAUAUAUAUAUAUAUGCUUAUACCUCCUUAUAUUUACUCAUAUAUGUGUUUAUAUACUAUAUAAUCUUUUGUAUGAUACCUACAUAUAUUGUUGUGACAAAAUAAAAUAGAAAUAAAAAUAAAUAAAUAAAUAAAGUUAUCAUCUCUUAAGGAGAUACCUUAAUUUGAAAGGCAGAUUGCUACUCUAUCUUUUUUUUUUUUUUUUUGCGAACCCUGCUCUGGCUCCAGUCCCAAAUGGAGGAAGGGGGCAGAAGCUUUGCAAGGGCUCAG